rnacentral:rRNA from 1 species
GGCUGAACCAGCAACUUGGAGGAAUGUAUAGGGAAAACCGGUAAAAGGUAAUGUACCUAGUAGUAUUAGCAAUUAAUAUGAGAUUAACAAAGUUAAUUAAAAUUCUAAGCAAAUGUGUGAUAAUGACAAUAUUUGUUUAUGUCUUGACCAAAUCACGUGCCAGCAGUCGCGGUAAUACGUGGAAGAUAAGUGUUAUUCAUCUUUAACAGGUUUAAAGGGUACCUAGACGGUUAAUUAAGCAGUAACAUGUACUAAUUAACUAGAGUUUAAUGUAAGAAGGAUUGAGUACGGUGAGUGUAGAGAUAAAAUUUUAUGAUACCACUUAGGAACUGGUAAAGGCGAAGGCAACCUUCAAUGUAAAAACUGACGUUAAGGGACGAAGGCUCGUUUUAAAAAAUAGGAUUAGAUACCCUAGUAUUGUGAGCAGACAAUGAUGAGUGUCAUAUGCAAGAAAAUUUUGUGUAUAAAUGAAAGUGUAAGCACUCCACCUCAAGAGUAACAUGGCAACAUGGGAACUGAAAUCAUUAGACCGUUUCUGAAACUCGUAGUGAAGUAUGU